rnacentral:rRNA from 1 species
GAUGAACGCUGGCGGCAGGCCUAACACAUGCAAGUCGAACGAGUGGCGGACGGGAGAGUAAUGUCUGGGAAACUGCCCGAUGGAGGGGGAUAACUACUGGAAACGGUAGCUAAUACCGCAAACUAUCGGAUGGGCCCAGAUGGGAUUAGCUAGUAGGCGGGGUAACGGCUCACCAGGGCGACGAUCCCUAGCUGGUCUGAGAGGAUGACCAGCCACACGGGAACUGAGACACGGUCCAGACUCCUACGGGAGGCAGCAGUGGGGAAUAUUUCACAAUGGGCGCAAGCCUGAUGCAGCCAUGCCGCGUGUAUGAAGAAGGCCUUCGGGUUGUAAAGUACUGUCAGCGGGGAGGCGUUACCCGCAGAAGAAGCACCGGCUAACUCCGUGCCAGCCGCCGCGGUAAUUC